UUAUGCUUAUCCCUUUCAUCUUUUUAGACUUUUUACCUUUAUUCAUAUUUUUCCUUACCUCUCUUCUCUUCGAAUAGGUUUCAUCUUCUUCGUGAUGAUUCACGAUUGUUCUUCCAUUUUCUCCUACCACUAUUUUCAUUCCUAAAUCCUUUUUUCUCCAUUUUUCUCCUAGCCCUAGUCUCACUACCCAUUCACGAGCUUUGUCGUUGCCACUGACUUUGCCCCCUGUCCAAGUUCGUUAUUUGCCCCAGCCGUUGGCCAUUCCUCCUCCGCACAAGCCUCCAAAAGCACCUCCUUGUUGCUGCUCACCACGAGUUCGAACUAUUGAGUGUCUGCCCUCGUUUAGGUCUUCUUUCGCCGUCAGACGCUCACGCAUUCUAGGUCUUCAAUAUGGUUCUCUCAUCGCUGGGAUUUAGCUUUGUGAUUUUUUUAUUGAACAUUUGCUUGGAUUUAGGAAAUAACAAUUAUGGUCGUUUUCAUAAGUACAUAGCAGGAUGGAGCAAAUUUUGUGAACUCUGGAUACACCAAGGGUGAUGGAUUUGGAGUUGAGAUUAUUGGCAGUUUUGUUCUUGUCUGCAUCAUUUUCUUUGCACUGAUGCCAAGAGAAACGCUAGAGACUUUCACGUUCUUAUUUUGGCUCCACUUCCCAUUGGAUUUGUUGUGUUCUUCGUCCACUUGGCCACCAUUCCCAUCAUAGUAACUAUCAUUAACCCUGUUAGGAGUCUAGGAGCAGCCAUUAUCUACAACAAGGACCAUGCAUGGGAUGACCAAGAUUGACAACUCAAGGAUCCAUGGAGACUCUCCCAAGGAGAAUUACUAGAAGCAUGACUAAAGGGGAGGAUCCUUCUUCUAUGUCUCUUUUGUUAUUUUCCAUCUUAAUUUUAUGAUAUCCCUAAGUUGACUUAGUUGACUUAAUUUUGGUUGACUUGUUGACCUUUGACUAGGGUUGACUCAUUGACCAAAAUUAAUUAAAUUCAAGCCAACAUGCUAAUCCUUGCUUAAGUUAUUUUGUAGGUUAAUUUUGUAGAGGAAAGCAUGAGAGGUGGCACAUGAUGAUCGGAGGGCAUGAAUGAUGUGGAAGAGAGUAAAGCAAAAGCAAAAAGCAUAAAGCAAAAGUAGACAUUGUACCUUUUGUCUCUUUUGUUCUUUAUGCUCCUUUGCUUGAUUUGGAGGCUACUUUUGUCCCUUUCUCCACCCAUGGCCAAUAAUCAACAUGGGAAGACAUACCACCAACUCAUUUUGUGCCAAGCUUGAAGAUACUUCUAGAAUGAUAGUUUCUCUUGCUUUUCUAGUUAGCCCUUUACAACUUUUGUAUUUUACUUAGAGGCCCCUAAGACUAUCUAUUUAAGGGGAGCUCUACCAAGUGUAAAAGGGUUGAACAUUUUGAAUCAAAACACUCUUGUUUCAACCACCA